AAGAACGGUCUCCUUAUCAUUCCUAUUAGACGUUCUUCCUAGACCGGUUCAUAAAUUCAUUUUCCCAAGAUGACGAUUCAAGCUCCUUAUACGACGAUUUGCGAUUCAAGAUCAUAUAAUUCAGUUAGGGUUCACUUAUAAUCCUUCUUUCUUCUCCUCAUUCAAUUCUCUAUCGCUCAUCCAUCGUGGGAUAACGAUUCAAGCUCUGAAUUCGAUCAAUUCAAAUCCAUCAUCUCCAUCGCUCCUUCUCAGGUAAGUUUUUGUCGAUUUCUCAAUCUCAAUUUUGAUAUUUACUUUACUGCAUCUUGGUUAUGGAAUCUUGAUCUAGGGUUUCAUUUGCCUUGCUUGUGAACUAUUUGAGGUCCUUCCAAAGGCGUAUGGGUUGCUAUACAAGGUUUUUGAGGUACUGAUGAAGAUCUGAAGAGAUCAUUGAUACUACAGAUGUAUUAUUUUUUUCUUCAUUGAACUCCAUAUGAAUGUUCAUUUCUUAGAUAGAAAGUAGGAAAUAUGCCAUGUUGAGCAACGAACUUGCAGAAAAAGCCCUAAAUUGAGGCAAAUGAAAGGAGAAGAUCUCCAAGGACUUGACCUCAAAGGGCUCGACAAGCUAGAGGCUGUGAUUGAAUCUGGAUUGGUUGAAGUAGU